rnacentral:siRNA from 1 species
CCGGGAAGUCCUCGUGUUGCAU